AAAUUCCUUGGGUGUUUGUUACGCUCCUUUUUUAAACCCACAUCGUUACAUUGGGAGCCCGGAGUCCAGCCAUCAAGUACGGCAUGCGCGCUGCGAGCGUGAAGGCGGAACGAGGCGGCAGGGCACCCACCUGCCAGAGCGGCGGGUUGUAAUCUGGGAGCGGACGGCACCUAGGGUAUUUU
rnacentral:other from 2 species